UUCUACUAAUAUGUCUCUCUUUCCUUUGGUUCAUGCACGCCGUUGAGAUGCAUAGGUCGAAGAUACGGCGAAAAAAAACUUAUAUCCGGCGGACCUGCUGCUGAUGUCCAAACGGAGGCCAGGAAAGUGGCCCUGCAAAGUCGAUGACGACAAGGAAUGCUACUAGAUUGUGUGAGGGCUAACUUAUCACUGUUUAUCUACUCAUUAUUGUAACAGACAUUUGUGAAGGACGGUAACCCCCGGGAUGCUGAAUGACACCCUCCUGCAGUAACCCCAUCCGCCAGAUGUGCACGUGCUGUGUAUUGUACCGUUAUGUGACAUCCAUGGAAUCUAAUUAUCUGGCACGCGUUGAGUGUAUGUUGCGCUCGUUUUGUCAUCCAAUGAUUAAACAGGACAAAGUAGAAAUGGCUGACAAUUCACUCGCAGACUGACAUGCUUAUGCUAAUAAAUCAAUGAAUAAGUGAU